rnacentral:rRNA from 1 species
CGGACGGGUGCGUAACGCGUGGGAAUCUACCUUGUAGUGGGGGAUAGCCCGGAGAAAUCCGGAUUAAUACCGCAUAAUCUCUACGGAGCAAAGUGGGGGAUCUUCGGACCUCACGCUAUUAGAUGAGCCCGCGUUAGAUUAGCUUGUUGGUGGGGUAAUGGCUCACCAAGGCAACGAUCUAUAGCUGGUUUGAGAGGAUGAUCAGCCACACUGGGACUGGGACACGGCCCAG